rnacentral:rRNA from 1 species
AGAGUUUGAUCAUGGCUCAGGACGAACGCUGGCGGCGUGCCUAAUACAUGCAAGUCGAGCGAACAUUUGAGAGCUUGCUNUCAAAUGUUAGCGGCGGACGGGUGAGUAACACGUGGGCAACCUGCCUAUAAGANUGGGAUAACUUCGGGAAACCGGAGCUAAUACCGGAUAAUUCACAUCUACUCAUGUAGAUGUGCUGAAAGACGUUUACGCUGUCACUUAUAGAUGGGCCCGCGGCGCAUUAGCUAGUUGGUGAGGUAACGGCUCACCAAGGCCACGAUGCGUAGCCGACCUGAGAGGGUGAUCGGCCACACUGGGACUGAGACACGGCCCAGACUCCUACGGGAGGCAGCAGUAGGGAAUNUUCCGCAAUGGACGAAAGUCUGACGGAGCAACGCCGCGUGAGUGAUGAAGGUUUUCGGAUCGUAAAACUCUGUUGUUAGGGAAGAACAAGUACCGGAGUAACUGCNGCACCUAGNGNUACUUAAC